CACUUCAGGCGGCCCCUGCCAGCUGCAACAGACAAAUCGCCGAGGCGGGGAGACGUUCAGGGCACCGGGAUGCUGGAGCCUUGGGGUCCCCAUUCCCGAGCCCAGCCCGAGCGCCGCCUGAGCGUGGCGCAGUUACUUUGGCUUCCCAGGUACAGAAAGGUAAGGGAGUUGUUUGGACCGGGAAGAGGAUCUAAGCAGAGGAAUCAUGGCUCAGGAGAAGCAUGGCUGUUGGAGAUCCAGGAAGCUCCCACAGUAUUCUGGACUGUUCUUCACCCUCUGAGGAAUCUGGAAACUCUGCCCACUUUCCCUACACUCCAGCAGCAUGUGAGACACUGUAAUCUCUCUUAGAAUCUUCCACUCAGUGCCAUGAUGCACAGCAGCAGCUGAACACAGGCUUUUCUAAGGCUUUUGCCCACAAAACAAAGAGCAAACCUGGGUGCCCUGCAAGCCCCCUUCCAACAUUUCUGAACAAUUCUAUUAGGUACUCCUAACUCAACUCCAAACUGCCUUCCCAGAUUUUACCUCUAAGGGAGAGAUUUAGAUUAAAGUUUGCUUCUGGCCUGUGCCCUUUUUUCCCUCCUCUUUUCCCCUUGGCUCCCUCCUUCAGUAGAGCAGAGACUUUCUACUUCCUCUUCAUAUUGGUUGGGAGCUCUACACCCCACAAACCGCCCUUUUUGGGCAAUAAGUCUCAUGGCUUAACCAAAAGGGGGUAAGAGAAAAAAAAAAAAAAACCCUGUUCCCUAGAAGACAAAUGCCACUUUUAAAUAUGUAAGAAAUAUUCCCAUUAUCUAGGCAAUCUACAUAUAUUAGAGCAGCAUGUUACCAGUAACAAAAUUUGGUUAACAAAUACAGAAAAUUAUGUCUUUGCAAAAAGAUUUUCUUGAUGCCAGUUGAUCCAGGAGCCACUCUCUUUUAAACUCAUCACAGUUUAUAACACUGUUUGUAAAAUAAGUCCAGGCUAGAAUUCCCUUGUUUCUCCUCUGCAUUUCAAAGGAUUCUCACCCACUGUAAGAGAAUCUGCUCAAAUUCCUGUUGUUCAUGAGGAAUUCUUGCUCAUGAUAUCUCUCUUGUUCGAACUUCCUUGCACCUAAUUGAAUCAUUCACUUAAUAAUGUAUUAAUUGUAAUACAUAAUUAUAGUAUGUGUGUCAAGCACUAUGUCAGGCACUAACAAUGAGAAUAUUUACAUAUUGUUUGGGUGAACUAUAAUUUUCUGUAAUUAUUAUAUUGAUUCUCCCUAGCUGGAUUACAGACCCUUAAGGACAAGGCUGUAUUCCUUAUUCAAGGAAAUUUGUACAGUGUCCUGAAAACUGUUACAAAAGAUAACUACUUUGUUGGCUGCUGUUUGAUCAUUUCGUAUUCUGGCUUCCAGACCACUCUCAUUACUCCAUAUCUACUGAAUAAAUAUCUGUGUCAGCAAUCUUGGUCUACAAGAAAACUAACUCUAGAUAAUUUAAACAAACAAAUAAAAUUGCUUAAUGUAUUAUCAGGUUAUGAGAUUGCUCAUUGAACCUGACUCUGGAAUAAAAUGGGAACUCAUGCAGUUCUGGGUAGAGGCAGCAGAAACAAAUGGAGAACCUCUUCAAGGUAAUACUGUUUGGGUGAAUCAAUUCCAACCAUUUUCGUCCUUCUGCCACCUCUCUUAGGGUUCAAAUUCAAAGGCUAGGGUCCAACUGGCCUAGCUAGUUUAAGGAACCUGCCCACAGUCCUAGUCAGGAGAUGAUGGAGCAUCCUGAUACAUGGUCCUAAAAAGAUGCAUGCCAUGGGAAAGGGGUUACUCCAUAAAGGAUGACCAAAACACUAUUACCCAAAACUGGGGGCAUUGAUGCUUGUCAGACACACACACACACACACACACACACACACACACACACACAAAAUGUCUGGAUGUCCCUGUACCACCUCAAGAGCUUUCAAGGACGUUUAGAGUUUACUGAGAUAAAGCAUUUCCAAGAGCCUAAGAAGAAUACUCUAAAAUCAGAUUCUAGGUCUUUUAUGAAAACUAAAGCAUUAUUUUGUGAAAUGAGUUAACUAGAACUUUCAUGUAGCCCCAAUUCUCUCCACUGAUGGUGGCAAAUAGAUCCUUUAUAAUACAACCAGUCAUAGCAUCAAAACCUAGCUUUGGACUCAGAGUGGAAUACUGCUCACAUUGUAGAAUUUUGAAGUUACAAAAACAGAGUGCAUAUAUAACAGCUACCAGAAACCAUACCUACUUACAUCAGACAAACAAUACCAAAUCACAUACAUCAUCUCAUUUAAUCCUCACAACUUUUAUGGUAGAUUGAAAAAUAUGAGCACAAUAUUUCUUAUCAUCUUCCAUCAAGAAGUAGAGACUAUCAGGUGCCCGGGUGGCUCAGUUGGUUAAGCAUCUGCCUUCGGCUCAGGUCUUGAUCCCAGCGUCCUGGGAUCGAGCCCGGAGCGGGGCGCUGGUGCUCAGCGGGGAGUCUGUGUCUCCCUCCCCCUGCUCUAGUGUUCUCGCUCGUUCUCCCUCUCUCUCUCUCUCCCUCUCUCAAAUAAAUAAAAUCUUUAAAAAAAAGAAGAAGAAGGAGAAGGAGAAGAAGUGAAGACUAUUUCCCAACUAUUUCCCUUUGAAUCUGAUUUGGUCUUGAGGCUUCCCUUAACCAAUAGAAAUACGGUGGAAGUGACGUUGUAUGACUUCCAAGGCUAGGCGUUAAGAGACCUCACAGCUUCCUCUUUUGCCUUGAGAUGUGAGGGUAAACAUUGGCCUCAAGAUGUUAGAGCUCUAAGAUAGCCAUGCCUUGAAAAAGUCCAAGAUGAAAAACUAUGUCUCAACUAAGCUGAGACCCUCACCAAGCUGCCAGCUAAAUGCAGCUACAAGCAUGAGCUCAGUAGAUCAGCAUAAUUGCCCAGUGAACUCACAGAAUAAAGAUAUCAUUGUAGUUUUAAGCCUCUUAAUUAUUAGGGUAGUCUAUUAUACAGGAAUAGAUAACUAAUACAAACUUAGGAGGGAAAAUAUUUCUGUCUCAAUUUUAAUAGAUAAAUAAACUCACAUUCAGAAAAGUCAAGAAACUCACUCACAUUCAUAAAACUGGUACUAGAGGCAGGGCGAGGUUCAGAACCAUGCCUUUGACAACAAGUCAAGGGUACUCUUCCUUUCAUCACCACUACUUCGUCCACCUGCCAUAAAAAUGCCAGUCAAGAUCUAGGGUUGAUGUAGAUGGUAGCCACUCCCAGUAUCCAUAACACAUGGUAUUAUUAUGGAUAAUUCAUUCCUUGAGCUUCAUCGCAGUCUGAAUGCACACUGCAUCCUAUGUGAGAGCUCCAUUCACUGCAUGCUACAGUCACUAAGCUCUCCCCAGGAAAUGAAAGGAUCCUAACAGCUGCUCUAGUCAACUUCCCUGCCUCUCGGCUUCAGUUUCUAGUUCCUACUCACAUAGAACAAUUCCUUGUAUAUAGCAGGUAUUCAAUGAAGAGUUGUUGAAUGCACAGAUGAAUAUGUGAGCUUCCUUUCAAGAUGGUUAUACGAUGGCAACUUAAAAACCUCACCCAUUCUUCCUUAUCACUCUGUGUUGAAGAAAGCCUUAAGGCUCCCAGCUACUGAUGGAGCCCUGCCACAUCACAUUGCCUGGUUGUGCUUUAGACGUUCCAUCUUGGGAGGUAAUAGGAGUGAAUGGGUCUUGGCUUUGAAAAAGAACGGAAGGUCCAGUUAAGCUGCCUGCUUGCUAGCAGAGUACUUCUAUAUACGUCCCAUUUAUUAUUGUUUUUGUUGCUGUUGUUUAGUUCAUGUAUUCAUUUAACCAACUUCAGUUGAAAGUCAGGCACGAUAUGCUAGCUGUGGUCAGAAGCUGAGGAUUGGACUGUGAAGGAGCUGCCAUAUCUGCCUGUGAGAAUCACAAGGUCUAGGGCAUUGGAAGAGACCCCUUUAGUGACAACUACCGUUUCUCAAGCCUGGGUUAUGCGAGCACUGUGUUCAGUGGGAAGUUGGUAAUGGUCUUCCCAUUUUACAGUUUUAGAGAGUUUGAGUUUAAGGAAGGGCAGUUUAAGUUGACAUAAAUAGAUAUUCCUUUUAAGGAAAAUUUGUACAUGUUUCUGUCUGUAUUUAUACUCGGGCUCCUAAAAUUCUGCUUCAAUGUAAAAUUCUGGCUUUGUGAGGGGGGAAAGUGAAAAAGAAAAAAAAAAAAAAAACAACUUUAAAAUGUAUGCAUGCUAUUCAACAUGGAGGCGGAGGUCGAUAAGCUGGAACUGAUGUUCCAGAAAGCUGACUCUGAUCUGGAUUACAUUCAAUACAGGCUGGAAUAUGAAAUCAAGACUAAUCAUCCUGAUACAGCAGGCAAG